UACGGAGGGUGCAAGCGUUAUCCGGAUUCACUGGGUUUAAAGGGUGCGUAGGUGGGCAGGUAAGUCAGUGGUGAAAUCUCUGGGCUUAACCCGGAAAUUGCCAUUGAUACUAUAUAUCUUGAAUGCUGUGGAGGUAAGCGGAAUAUGUCAUGUAGCGGUGAAAUGCUUAGAGAUGACAUAGAACACCUAUUGCGAAGGCAGCUUACUACGCAGAGAUUGACGCUCAUGCACGAAAGCGUGGGGAGCGAACAGG
rnacentral:rRNA from 1 species